GAUGAAGAACGUAGCGAAAUGCGAUAAGUAAUGUGAAUUGCAGAAUUCAGUGAAUCAUCGAAUCUUUGAACGCACAUUGCGCCCGCCAGUAUUCUGGCGGGCAUGCCUGUUCGAGCGUCAUUACAACCCUCAGGCCCCCGGGCCUGGCGUUGGGGAUCGGCGGAGCCCCCCGUGGGCACACGCCGUCCCCCAAAUGCAGUGGUGGUCCCGCCGCAGCUUCCAUCGCGUAGUAGCUAACACCUCGCGACUGGAGAGCGGCGCGGCCACGCCGUAAAACACCCAACUCUUCUGAAGUUGACCUCGAAUCAGGUAGGAAUACCCGCUGAACUUAAGCAUAUCAAUAAGCGGAGGA
rnacentral:misc_RNA from 1 species